GGCCGACCAACAUUGACAGGCAAGCCGUAAAAUAAAAUAUUUAUUAAUUGUAAUAGAAUUACGUUUAUUAUCUACAGUUUACCUUCAUUUUAACGCCUAUAUAUGUUAAGAGGUUAUAAACGAAUGGUUUCCGUACAAGUGUUUUUCAUUUGUAUUAGCAUUUAUUUUAUGUUACCUUUUAGCGCAAAGUACGCCAACAGAAUACUUAAUUCAGUCGAAACAAUUGGAAAAACUUUGUUGAUGAGAACAGGAUACCUAUACCAUAAGUAAACUUUCCUUAUUAUACCAGUUAUGCUGUAGUUAGUUUUGACAAAUAAGCAUGAUUUAACGAAAGUCUUUGGAACUAUGAAUAAGCUACAAACUUAAAUUUGAAGGCCGGCUUUUAUGCGAGAAAAUUUUGAACCAUGGUUGAAACAAAUAAAUGUAAUAAUUAAAUUGAUAUGAUACAUACCUGCUAUUUUUGAAAUAUAUUAAUAUAUUGAUAGAAAGAUUGUUUCAAUUAGUAUUACUUCAGGUAGUUUCGGCACUUUAGGUAUGUAA
rnacentral:lncRNA from 1 species